UGGCUCAGAGGUUAAAGCGUCUGCCUCCAAUGCAGGAGACCGGGGUUCGAUCCCUG
rnacentral:tRNA from 1 species